rnacentral:misc_RNA from 1 species
AACGCACAUUGCGCCCUCUGGUAUUCCGGAGGGCAUGCCUGUUCGAGCGUCAUAAUGACCAACUCACCCUUGUGGUGGACUUGGAGCUGGCCGGUCUGGCCUCUCUUAAAACCAGUGGCGGUGCUCUUAAGCUCUACGCGUAGUAAUUUCUCUCGCGACAGGGUCUUGAUGGUGCUUGCCAACAACCCCGACUCUUAUAAGGUUGACCUCGGAUCAGGUAGGGAUACCCGCUGAACUUAA